rnacentral:rRNA from 1 species
UACAGAGGUCCCAAGCGUUGUUCGGAUUCACUGGGCGUAAAGGGUGCGUAGGUGGUUAGGUAAGUCCGAUGUGAAAUCUCCAGGCUCAACCUGGAAAUGGCAUUGGAUACUAUUUAGCUAGAGGAGUGGAGGGGGGACUGGAAUUCUCGGUGUAGCAGUGAAAUGCGUAGAUAUCGGGAGGAACAUCAGUGGCGAAGGCGGCUGCCUGGCCCAAUACUGACACUCAGGUGCGACAGCGGUGGGGAGCAAACAGGAUUAGAUACCGGCGGUCGA